AUAUAAAUAACAUAUAUAUAUAUAUAUGUGUGUGUAUAGCAUUUGAUGUAUAAUUUAAGAAGUGGGUUUACCUUUUGCAUAAUGGGUUAACUAUAAGUGUAAUAAAUCUUUUAUCACGAAAUAGUUUGAGUUAAAUAUAUUUUGAUAUUAGUCUAGGAACAAAUGUAGUAUAAUUUGGGGGAAAAAAAUAUUUAGGGGUGAAAAGCUAACAAAAACUAUGAUAACUUGUUAUUUAAUAAAAGUAUUAAGUACAGAGACAAUUGUUAAGUGUUUAGGCUUAACAAUAAUAUAAAAUACUAUUUUCUUUAUUUUUUUAAGGUUUAAUAAUCAGCAUUUAGUAAAUUAUAAUAUUAUUCUAUCUUUCUUAUAUAUUAUAUUAAAUUACUAUAAACUUUUACUUUAGUAGAUAAUGUUAAUAUAAGUAUUAUUAUUAGAUUCUGAGAAUGAACUCGGCAAAAAGCUCUCUCGACUGUUUAUCAAAAACAUAACUAUAUGUAUACAUAUAUAGCAAUUUCUGCUCAAUGAUAUAUAUAUAUAUUAAAUAGCCGCAGUACUCUGACUGUGCAAAGGUAGCAUAAUCAAUUGGCCUAUAAUUGAGGUCUGGAAUGAAAGAAAGUUUGGGGGGGGACUGUAUAUAAAGAACAAUUAAAAAUUACUUAACAGGUGAAAAAACCUGUAAUAUAAUUAAUAGACGAGAAGACCCUGGAAAUUUUUAUGAGAUAAUAGGUCUAUUAGAUGUUUUUGUUGGGGCGACAGAAUAACAGAUAACUUAUUUAUAGCAAUUUGCCGUUUUUAAAUAGAAUAAAUAAAUUACUCCAGGGAUAACAGCAUAAUAUUUAAAAGUUUGUGACCUCGAUGUUGGACUAGGAACUUAUAGUUUAGAAGACUAUUAAAGAUGCUCUGUUCGAGCAUUUUCUCCUACAUGAUCUGAGUUCAGACCGGCGCAAGCCAGGUCAGUUUCUAUCUUUAAAAUUUUUAGGAUUAGUACGAAAGGAAUUUUCUAAAUACACUUUGU
rnacentral:rRNA from 1 species